rnacentral:rRNA from 1 species
GAUGAACGCUGGCGGCGUGCCUAAUACAUGCAAGUCGAGCGAACAGACGAGGAGUUUGCUCCUCUGACGUUAGCGGCGGACGGGAGAGUAACACGUGGAUAACCUACCUAUCAGACUGGGAUAACUUCGGGAAACCGGAGCUAAUACCGGAUAAUAUAUUGAACCGCGUGGUUCAAUAGUUAAAGAAGGUUUUUCUUUGACUAAUAGAUGGAUCCGCGCCUCAUUAGCUAGUUGGUAAGGAGACGGCUUAGCAAGGCAACGACGCGUAGCCGACCCGAGAGGGUGAUCGGCUACACUGGAAGUGAGACACGGUCGCGACUCCUACGGGAGGCAGCAGUAGGGAAUCUUCCGCAAGGGGGGAAAGCCUGACGGAGCAACGCCGCGUGAGUGAUGAAGGUCUUCGGAUCGUAAAGCUCUGUUAUUAGGGAAGAACAAAUGUGUAAGUAACUGUGCACGUAUUGACGGUACCUAGUCAGAAAGCCACGGCUAACUACGUG